GCCAUCGCCAUACCACGCUGAAUGCGCCGGUUCUCGUCCGAUCACCGAAGCUAAGCAACAUCGGGCUCCGUCAGUACUUGGGGGGAUGGAACACGGAGUGCUGAUUGGC
rnacentral:rRNA from 1 species